rnacentral:lncRNA from 1 species
GACCCUUCUCACAUUGAAGCCGCUUAGCUUUCUGGCCCCGAUGGCUUUAGACAAGAAUGUGGACAAUUUUGAGAAACUCCAUGCAAUCUAAGAGGGGUACUCGACAUACCAUAACGGUGAGUGCUUGGCGAUAUUAUCUGUGUCUUUGUUUGUUUGAUCGAUUAAUUUAGUUGAGAAAUGCUAUAGUGAUCACUGUCUUGGUGUUAUUGGAAUGGGUUAAGCAAUGCUCUUAAUCCCUUGUGGGUUCUAUAUCUUGGUUUUGUUGGAUUGAAUUGAGAAAUGGUAUUUAUUAUUAAAUAUGGUUGUGCCUUGGUUUUAUUCAGUUAAAUUGAGGAAUGCUAUUGUGGACCCUCACCCGAUCCACCGAUCGGCGCGACUUGCGAAUUAAAACAAAUGAUGUGGAGAAAAAGUGGUUUUCAAGUUUUAGAAAAUCUAUCCUAACGAGGGAAGAUUUUUGUUUGGAGUCGCCACUUACUUUUUAUUUUAUUUUUGAAAUGGGGAAAAUAAAGUAAGAACAAAAACCCCUCAAUGACUCCAGUUAGGAAAAAACGGUCGGCGAAAUUAGAUUUCUUGGUCCAGGGAUCAGGUUACCUAUCAGGAAGGUACCUCAUACGAGGUAGCAUCCCUCUAGGCUCGGAAUCUGGUCUCUACUAGUAAAUUGGGUACAUUGGAGCAUAUGGGUCGAAGAGUAGUCAACUUCUCCCUCAGGCUACAUGAAUGGCAAGACUUGCAAUUCUAGUUCGUAUUCGGCACACAUAGGAAAUUAAUGACCAAAACAAAGUUGCAUACCUGAGGUCCCUAGCCGUGUGCUGCAAGAAAGGGUUAGUCAAUAAGCACAAGCACACAAUAUAUGCAAAUUCCAAAUUUACCAAAAUUUCUAGCCAUGACUAAACCAUAUAUAUGUAAUCUCUAGGCUCUACCCAAUGGCCCCCAAGCGCAACCAUGACUCUGGACUACGUGACUAAAAUUUAGUUACUCUCAUUCCCUUAGCUUUCAGCUGAGGACUAACAUCUUUCUCGUUUGAAUUUCAUCCCUCC